rnacentral:rRNA from 1 species
UACGGGGGGGAGCAAGCGUUGUUCGGAUUUACUGGGCGUAAAGGGCGCGUAGGCGGUCAGCACAAGUCAGUUGUGAAAUCUCCGGGCUUAACUCGAAGAAGCAACUGAUACUGUGCGACUAGAGUGCGGAAGGGGCAACUGGAAUUCUCGGUGUAGCGGUGAAAUGCGUAGAUAUCGAGAGGAACACCUGCGGCGAAGGCGGGUUGCUGGGCCGACACUGACGCUGAGGCACGAAGGUCAGGGGAGCAAACGGG